GGGAAGUUGUCUCAAUGACCCCUCAAAUCCUCCUGCAUUUCCCCCGAUAGACCUCUCCUCGUUCAAGAUCUGCCAUCCUGAGCUCAUCUCCCUGCUGACUCCAGGGCCGGCCACUGGCCUCCUAAGGACAGCCCUUCUGCAAAGCCAGGAGAGAGGGAACCCUGCUCCGCUCCUCAGGUGAGCAGAGCCCCCACCUCUCCCUGUCCCCAAACCUGACGCUUCUUAUCCGUAGCCUCCAGCUUGCCUCCCCGACGCAGGCAGAUGCAUGGAGAGGCCAUUUACCGCUGGACCGAACUCCGUCACAGAGAGCAAAGAAGGACGUCUUAUUUCACAGUUGAAAUAACCUCCUCCCCUCAACGCCUCGCCCCCUGCCGUCCCCGGGGCAUGUUUCAGUAGAACCAAGAAGAAUAGGUGGUCGAGAAAUUCAGAUAGAACGAGAG
rnacentral:lncRNA from 1 species